GACGAACGCUGGCGGCGUGCUUAACACAUGCAAGUCGAACGGAAAGGCCCUUCUUUUGUGGGGUGCUCGAGUGGCGAACGGGUGAGUAACACGUGAGUAACCUGCCCUUGCCUUUGGGAUAACUUCAGGAAACUGGGGCUAAUACCGGAUAGGAGCUCCUGCUGCAUGGUGGGGGUUGGAAAGUUUCGGCGGUUGGGGAUGGACUCGCGGCUUAUCAGCUUGUUGGUGGGGUAGUGGCUUACCAAGGCUUUGACGGGUAGCCGGCCUGAGAGGGUGACCGGCCAGAUUGGGACUGCGAUACGGCCCAGACUCCUACGGGAGGGAGCAGUGGGGAAUAGUGCACUAUGGGCGGAAGCCGGAUGCAGCAACGCCGCGUGCGGGAUGACGGCCUUCGGGUUGUAAACCGCUUUCGCCUGUGACGAAGCGUGAGUGACGGUAAUGGGUAAAGAAGCACCGGCUAACUACGUG
rnacentral:rRNA from 1 species